UGUACGAGAUCAUUGCUUUAAAAUACUAUAUAAACCCAGUGAGGAUAUGCUAUUCCUCGUGAAUUUGAACACAUUUCCACUUCUUACGUCAAACUAUCAACAUGAGGACCAUUGCUGUCGUUCUUCUUGUCGUUUCACUAUGUCUUGUACAUAGCCAUGAAGACGAGUCAGAGAAAUGCAGCAAACGAUAUCCAAGCGUCAAAGGCAAAUGUCCCAAAGAACCCUGUGCUAUGACAACAUGUGACGAAGCGGGCGCCAUCUGCAAAAAUAAUUAUUGCGGUGGCUGCAAUGCUAAAUGGUUCACCAACGGGGAAAUUUCUGAGGCGUGCUCAAAGUUCUUCUUGGAGAAAGAAUAGAGAACAAGAAGUGAAGCUCAGUGUGAAUAAACUUCCCCGAGAAGACCUUUUCUACGUACCAAGAGGACAUGAUUAUCAACUUUUCCCCUUGUCAUUAAAUUGAAAAUAAAAUUGUAAAUCAGUACAAAGAGAGAUAA